rnacentral:rRNA from 1 species
UACAGAGGUCCCAAGCGUUGUUCGGAUUUACUGGGCGUAAAGGGUGCGUAGGUGGCGAGGUAAGUUCGAUGUGAAAUCUCCGAGCUCAACUCGGAAAUGGCAUUGAAUACUAUCCCGCUUGAGGGUCGGAGGGGAGACUGGAAUUCUCGGUGUAGCAGUGAAAUGCGUAGAUAUCGUAAGGAAGGCCGGUGGCGAAAGCGAGCCUCUGGACAGUUACUGACGCUGAUGCACGAAGGCCAGGGGAGCAAACGGG